rnacentral:rRNA from 1 species
UACGUAGGGGGCAAGCGUUGUCCGGAUUUAUUGGGCGUAAAGAGCGUGUAGGCGGCCAAGCAGGUCCGCUGUGAAAACUCGAGGCUCAACCUCGAGACGUCGGUGGAAACCGUUUGGCUAGAGUCCGGAAGAGGAGAGUGGAAUUCCCGGUGUAGCGGUGAAAUGCGCAGAUAUCGGGAAGAACACGCGUGGCGAAGGCGGCUCUCUGGGACGGUACUGACGCUGAGACGCGAAAGCGUGGGGAGCGAACAGG